UACGUAGGGUGCAAGCGUUGUCCGGAAUUAUUGGGCGUAAAGAGCUUGUAGGCGGUUUGUCGCGUCUGCUGUGAAAUUUCGGGGCUCAACCCCGAACUUGCAGUGGGUACGGGCAGACUAGAGUGUGGUAGGGGAGACUGGAAUUCCUGGUGUAGCGGUGAAAUGCGCAGAUAUCGGGAGGAACACCAGUGGCGAAGGCGGCACUCUGGGCCGGUACUGACGCUGAGGAGCGAAAGCGUGGGGAGCAAAGCGGG
rnacentral:rRNA from 1 species